CAUGCAAGUCGAGCGGGGGAAAGUAGCUUGCUACUGGACCUAGCGGCGGACGGGUGAGUAAUACUUAGGAAUCUGCCUAUUAGUGGGGGACAACGUUCCGAAAGGAGCGCUAAUACCGCAUACGCCCUACGGGGGAAAGCAGGGGAUCUUCGGACCUUGCGCUAAUAGAUGAGCCUAAGUCGGAUUAGCUAGUUGGUGGGGUAAAGGCCUACCAAGGCGACGAUCU
rnacentral:rRNA from 1 species